ACUCCCUUAUUCUCUGCACAAGUAAAAAGGCUCUAUUAAGCCCCAUUGCAACACACUGCAAUCUGUUUGGAGUUGUAGGUUCUUAUGGCAGAUGACUUCUAAAAUAGACCACUAGCUACCUGUGAAGACACCAAAUCUAUGGAUUUCCACCCUGUCAGAAUCUAGACUGUUAUCCAGCUCUUUCCCCUUUACAUCCUUCACUAACUCCUCCCUCAACUAUCCAUCUGUCUCCCUUUCCUGUUGUUACCUCAAAAAUCGGUAACAGAUAAGUAAGACUAAGGUUCGGACCCAGAUUAAUAUCUCUAUUACUUUUAAAACCCAUAAGGUAAGUAAAAACAAUCCAGUGUAAAGAUAGAUUUACUAAGAUUUAUUAAAAUUAAACAAAUUAACAAAGGCAACAGAAUAAUAGCUCAGAGGUUUGACCCAAAAGGGCAUAAAGACCGGCUCCCUUCUACCCUGGCAAGCUAUGGGAACUCCUUUACUUGCAGGAAAUGACUUUCACCGGCAACUCAGAUGGAAAGGCAGACAGCUGGUUGUGACUGCAGACUACUACAGUUGCUGGAUUCCGGACCUGUAACUGCCUUAGAUAGGAUGACAGGAGGGACACGGACUGAAGCUGGAUCAGGAUACCCCACGAUGGUCUUCAGGAAAUGACUUUCACUGGCAACUCAGAUGGAAAGGCAGACAGCUGGUUGUGACUGCAGACUACUGCGGCAGUUGCUGGAUUCCAGACCUGUAGAUGGGAUGACAAGAGGGACACAGAUUGAAGGUGAACAGGAGUACUUGUGGCACCUUAGAGACUAACAAAUUUAUUAGAGCAUAAGCUUUCGUGGACUACAGCCCACUUCUUCGGAAGGUGGAUCAGGAUACCCUGCGAUGGUCUUCAGGUAGGUAUCUCAUGAAGACUCUUGCCUCUCGCUGUGUGCGCAGAACUAGGCAUUGUCUGCC
rnacentral:lncRNA from 1 species